GGCUAGACGAUAGGAAAGCUGUCUCCUCUUACUAUCUCCUAAUUUAGUUUUAAGGUGAAGAGACCUUAAUGAGAAAGCGGGACGAGAAGACCCUAUAGAGCUUUAUUCUUAUAUUAAGUAUAAUUAAUUAAAGAAUUUGGUUGGGGCAACUACUUCUAUAAAUUAGACAGGAGUUUAACAUAAGAAUUUUGAGUAAAAUGACCCAGAAAUAGUCUGAGAAGAAGAAAAAGUUACCUUAGGGAUAACAGCGUAAUUUUCUUUGAGAGUACUUAUUGACAAGAAAGCUUGCGACCUCGAUGUUGGAUCAGAAGACCCCGGAUGUGCAGCAGCCUCCAAAGGUUGGUUUGUUCAACCAUUAAAAUUCU
rnacentral:rRNA from 21 species